GACGAACGCUGGCGGCGUGCCUAAUACAUGCAAGUAGAACGCUGAAGGAGGAGCUUGCUUCUCUGGAUGAGUUGCGAACGGGUGAGUAACGCGUAGGUAACCUGCCUGGUAGCGGGGGAUAACUAUUGGAAACGAUAGCUAAUACCGCAUAAGAGUAGAUGUUGCAUGACAUUUGCUUAAAAGGUGCAAUUGCAUCACUACCAGAUGGACCUGCGUUGUAUUAGCUAGUUGGUGGGGUAACGGCUUACCAAGGCGACGAUACAUAGCCGACCUGAGAGGGGGAUCGGCCACACUGGGACUGAGAAACGGCCCAGACACCUACGGGAGGCAGCAGUAGGGAAUCUUCGGCAAUGGACGGAAGUCUGACCGAGCAACGCCGCGUGAGUGAAGAAGGUUUUCGGAUCGUAAAGCUCUGUUGUAAGAGAAGAACGAGUGUGAGAGUGGAAAGUUCACACUGUGACGGUAUCUUAACAGAAAGGGACGGCUAACUACGUG
rnacentral:rRNA from 1 species